UGGGGAAUAUUGGACAAUGGGGGCAACCCUGAUCCAGCCAUGCCGCGUGUGUGAAGAAGGCUUUCGGGUUGUAAAGCACUUUCAGCGAGGAGGAAGGCCUUAAAGUUAAUACCUUUAAGGAUUGACGUUACUCGCAGAAGAAGCACCGGCUAACUCCGUGCCAGCAGCCGCGGUAAUACGGAGGGUGCAAGCGUUAAUCGGAAUUACUGGGCGUAAAGCGCGCGUAGGUGGUUUGGUAAGCGAGAUGUGAAAGCCCCGGGCUUAACCUGGGAACGGCAUUUCGAACUGUCAGACUAGAGUGUGGUAGAGGGUAGUGGAAUUUCCUGUGUAGCGGUGAAAUGCGUAGAUAUAGGAAGGAACACCAGUGGCGAAGGCGGCUACCUGGACCAACACUGACACUGAGGUGCGAAAGCGUGGGGAGCAAACAGG
rnacentral:rRNA from 1 species